AGAGUUUGAUCCUGGCUCAGAACGAACGCUGGCGGCAGGCCUAACACAUGCAAGUCGAACGAACCCUUCGGGGUGAGUGGCGCACGGGUGCGUAACGCGUGGGGAUAUACCCUUAAGUGCGGAAUAACGUAGAGAAAUUUACGCUAAUACCGCAUAAUGACUCCGGUCCAAAGAUUUAUCGCCUAGGGAUUAGCCCGCGUCUGAUUAGUUUGUUGGUGAGGUAAUGGCUCACCAAGACAAUGAUCAGUAGCUGGUCUGAGAGGAUGAUCAGCCACACUGGGACUGAGACACGGCCCAGACUCCUACGGGAGGCAGCAGUGAGGAAUAUUGGACAAUGGAGGAAACUCUGAUCCAGCCAUGCCGCGUGAGUGAAGAAGGCCUUAGGGUUGUAAAGCUCUUUCAAUAGUGAAGAUAAUGACGGUAGCUAUAGAAGAAGCUCCGGCUAAAUUCGUGCCAGCAGCCGCGGUAAUACGAAUGGAGCAAGCGUUGUUCGGAAUCACUGGGCUUAAAGCGUGCGUAGGCGGAAACGAAAGUCAGGAGUGAAAUCCCAGGGCUCAACCCUGGAACUGCUUCUGAAACUCCGUUUCUAGAAUCCGAUAGAGGUAAGGAGAAUUCCUAGUGUAGAGGUGAAAUUCGCAGAUAUUAGGAGGAAUACCAGUGGCGUAGGCGCCUUACUGGGUCGGUAUUGACGCUGAGGUACGAAAGCGUGGGGAGCAAACAGGAUUAGAUACCCUGGUAGUCCACGCCGUAAACGAUGUGUGCUAGUUGUCGGGACCUUUAGGUUUCGGUGACGGAGCGAAAGUAUUAAGCACACCGCCUGGGGAGUACGCCGCAAGUUAAAACUCAAAGGAAUUGACGG
rnacentral:rRNA from 1 species